CUGAAACAUCUCAGUAACCGGAGGAAAGGACAUCAACCGAGACUUCCCUAGUAGUGGCGAGCGAACGGGAACCAGGCCAGUGCUCUUGUGAAAUAAAGCCGAACGAUCUGGAAAGGUCGACCAUAGCGGGUGACAGUCCCGUAGGCAUCAAACAGCAAGAGACUCGAGUAGGGCGGGACACGUGAAAUCCUGUCUGAACAUGGGGGGACCACCCUCCAAGCCUAAGUACUCCUCAGCGACCGAUAGUGAACCAGUACCGUGAGGGAAAGGUGAAAAGCACCCCGACGAGGGGAGUGAAAUAGACCUGAAACCGGACACCUACAAACAGAUGGAGCCCAAGAUUCGUUCUGGGUGACAUCGUACCUUUUGUAUUAUGGGCCAGCGACUUAAUUUAACGAGCAAGCUUAAGCCGAUAGGCGAAGGCGUAGCGAAAGCGAGUCUGAAUAGGGCGUCAAGUUCGUUGUAUUAGACCCGAAACCUAGUGAUCUAGCCAUGAGCAGGUUGAAGGUGAGGUAACACUCACUGGAGGACCGAACGGGUGUCUGUUGAAAAAGACUCCGAUGACUUGUGGUUAGGGGUGAAAGGCCAAUCAAACUGGGAAAUAGCUGGUUCUCCGCGAAAGAUAUUUAGGUAUCGCCUCGGACGAAUACCUCAGGGGGUAGAGCACUGGAUGGGCUAUGGGGACUCACCGUCUUACUGAUCCUAACCAAACUCCGAAUACCCGGGAGUACUACUCGGCAGACACACGGCGGGUGCUAACGUCCGUCGUGAAGAGGGCAACAACCCUGACCUCCAGCUAAGGUCCCCAAGUCAUGGCUAAGUGGGAAAGGAUGUGAGGAUCCCAAAACAACCAGGAUGUUGGCUUAGAAGCAGCCAUCAUUUAAAGAAAGCGUAACAGCUCACUGGUCUAAAUAAGGGUCUUUGCGCCGAAAAUGUAACGGGGCUAAAGCCAUGCACCGAAGCUGAGGAUGUGCAGUAAUGCACGUGGUAGCGGAGCGUUCCGUAAGUCUGUGAAGGGGUACCUGUGAGGGGCCCUGGAGAUAUCGGAAGUGCGAAUGUUGACAUGAGUAACGAUAAAGGGAGUGAGAGACUCCCUCGCCGAAAGACCAAGGGUUCCUGCUUAAAGUUAAUCUGAGCAGGGUUAGCCGGCCCCUAAGACGAGGCGGACACGCGUAGUCGAUGGGAACCACGUUAAUAUUCGUGGGCCUGGUGGUAGUGACGGAUCUCGCAGAGUUGUAACUCCUUAUUGGAUUGGAGUUGCAGUGAGCAGGUUCCAGGAAAUAGCUCCACCAACAUAGACCGUACCCUAAACCGACACAGGUGGACUGGUAGAGUAUACCAAGGCGCUUGAGAGAACUAUGCUGAAGGAACUCGGCAAAUUGCACGCGUAACUUCGGAAGAAGCGUGACCCCAUUUUACGCAAGUAUGAUGGGGUGGCACAGACCAGGGGGUAGCGACUGUUUAUCAAAAACACAGGGCUCUGCGAAGUCGCAAGACGACGUAUAGGGUCUGACGCCUGCCCGGUGCCGGAAGGUUAACAGGAGAUGUCAGCGCAAGCAAAGCAUCGAAUCGAAGCCCCGGUAAACGGCGGCCGUAACAAUAACGGUCCUAAGGUAGCGAAAUUCCUUGUCGGGUAAGUUCCGACCUGCACGAAUGGCGUAAUGAUGGCGGCGCUGUCUCCACCAGAGACUCAGUGAAAUCGAAAUCGCGGUGAAGAUGCCGUGUACCCGUGGCUAGACGGAAAGACCCCGUGAACCUUUACUGUAGCUUCACACUGGACUUUGACAUGAUCUGUGUAGGAUAGCUGGGAGGCUUUGAAGUGGUGACGCCAGUUGCCAUGGAGCCGUCCUUGAAAUACCAGCCUGGUCCUGUCGGGGUUCUAACGUCGACCUGUUAUCCAGGUUACGGACAGUGUGUGGUGGGCAGUUUGACUGGGGCGGUCUCCUCCCAAAGAGUAACGGAGGAGCACGAAGGUGCGCUAAUCACGGUCGGAAAUCGUGAGGUUAGUGUAAAGGCACAAGCGCGCUUGACUGCGAGACAGACAAGUCGAGCAGGUACGAAAGUAGGUCUUAGUGAUCCGGUGGUUCUGUAUGGAAGGGCCAUCGCUCAACGGAUAAAAGGUACUCUGGGGAUAACAGGCUGAUACCGCCCAAGAGUUCAUAUCGACGGCGGUGUUUGGCACCUCGAUGUCGGCUCAUCACAUCCUGGGGCUGAAGUAGGUCCCAAGGGUAUGGCUGUUCGCCAUUUAAAGUGGUACGUGAGCUGGGUUUAAAACGUCGUGAGACAGUUUGGUCCCUAUCUGCCGUGGGCGUUGGAAAUUUGAAGGGGGCUGCUCCUAGUACGAGAGGACCGGAGUGGACAGACCUCUGGUGUACCGGUUGUCACGCCAGUGGCAUUGCCGGGUAGCUAAGUCUGGAAGAGAUAACCGCUGAAAGCAUCUAAGCGGGAAACUCGCCUCAAGAUGAGACUUCCCUGGGACUUCGAGUCCCCUGAAGGGUCGUUCAAGACCAGGACGUUGAUAGGUCAGGUGUGGAAGCGCAGUAAUGCGUUAAGCUAACUGAUACUAAUUGCCCGUGAGGCUUGACCC
rnacentral:rRNA from 1 species